GCGCCUGGGCGCGCGCC
rnacentral:miRNA from 1 species